GGACUACCGGGGUAUCUAAUCCUGUUCGCUCCCCACGCUUUCGCUCCUCAGCGUCAGUAUCGGCCCAGAGACCCGCCUUCGCCACCGGUGUUCCUCCUGAUAUCUGCGCAUUUCACCGCUACACCAGGAAUUCCAGUCUCCCCUACCGAACUCUAGCCUGCCCGUAUCGGAUGCAAUGUCAGAGUUGAGCCCUGAAAUUUCACAUUCGACGCGACAAACCGCCUACGAGCUCUUUACGCCCAAUAAAUCCGGACAACGCUCGCGCCCUACGUCUUACCGCGGCUGCUGGCAC
rnacentral:rRNA from 1 species